UAGCUCAGUUGGUAGAGCAUCGGACUGAAAAUCCGUGUGUCCCCGGUUCGAUUCCUGGAG
rnacentral:tRNA from 1 species